GUUUGCACUCAUCGGGGAAGGGUGAGAACCUUCGACUAAGGUUCGAUUCGAGCGAAAGCGAGAGAACGUUGCCACAGGCAACGGCCCGAAGGGUGAGGAGCGAAGCGACGAAUAAUUCUUCCCCCACCACCA
rnacentral:sRNA from 1 species